rnacentral:tRNA from 1 species
AGGAAGAUAAGCUAAUAUAAGCUACUAGGUUCAUACCCUACCCAUAGGAGUAAUAACCUCCUUCUCCCUA